GGGCGGUGUGUACAAAGGGCAGGGACGUAGUCAACGCGAGCUGAUGACUCGCGCUUACUAGGAAUUCCUCGUUGAAGACCAACAAUUGCAAUGAUCUAUCCCCAUCACGAUGAAAUUUCAAAGAUUACCCGGGCCUGUCGGCCAAGGUGUGAACUCGUUGAAUACAUCAGUGUAGCGCGCGUGCGGCCCAGAACAUCUAAGGACAUCACAGACCUGUUAGUGCCUCAAACUUCCUUGGCCUAAACGGCCAUAGUCCCUCUAAGAAGCCGGCCGUGAAGGGAUGCCUCCACGUAGCUAGUUAGCAGGCUGAGGUCUCGUUCGUUAACGGAAUUAACCAGACAAAUCGCUCCACCAACUAAGAACGGCCAUGCACCACCACCCAUAGAAUCAAGAAAGAGCUCUCAGUCUGUCAAUCCUUACUAUGUCUGGACCUGGUAAGUUUCCCCAUGUUGAGUCAAAUUAAGCCGCAGGCUCCACUCCUGGUGGUGCCCUUCCGUCAAUUCCUUUAAGUUUCAGCCUUGCGCCCAUACUCCCCCCGGAACCCAAAAACUUUGAUUUCUCAUAAGGUGCCAGCGGAGUCCUAAAAGCAACAUGUAAGACCCGAUCCUGGAUUCCUCAAUCCAACCAGACCGCGGCCUCACUAAACAACACAACCAGUUCCAUGUUUCAUAUUCAAGUUCAAGUGUUAAAUAAUUCUAAGUCUUUUUCAGAGUUUUGGAGGUUCCAACGUUCACACUUAAACAAUCAAGCAACAACUAAUGCAAAUAGAUAUUUCAUAGAUAUUAACCAAGGUUCAUACAUCAUUCAUCAUCCUAAUAAAUAGAAUACACACUAGAAUCGCAUAAGUUCACAAGUUGCACAAUAGGCUACAAUAAUCACACAAUUUUCAGAAUCAACCCAAUCACCACACAUCUUCCCAUGGCCGCGGUCCUCAUGGUGCUUUUCCCUUACCACGGUCCAUUUCUGGUCCUGGAUCCAACACAAACAAACACACAAUCGCAAGGUUAGAUUACCAAAACAAGCAUCAAUCACAUUGCAUGGUCGGAUCCAAUCUAAUCAAGAACAAUCAUCAAAAAUGUCAAAUCUGACCCCUCUAAAAAGAGAUCCAAAUACCAAAUAAAAUUCAUGAAAACUCAUGAUAAUUCAGAAGAAAAAUAUUCCCAUAAUCAGAUUCAAAAGAAUCGGCUCAGAUCAUAGUGAUCUCGGCCAUGAACAGCCCACACAAGAACAAGGGACUUUCAUGGGAAUUUGAUCAGGCCAAGGCCUUAAGAUCAAUGGAUCCUUCCCUGUAACAUCAUAAAUCAAUCCAUAGCACAAAAUAUAUGAAGAAACAGAGUAGAAGAAGUCAGAGUAAGGAGUGGCCAAUCGAUCCAAACCGGCCAGGCUCACACGGCCAUCAUCCGCGGCCUUGUCCGGUUACUCUUGGCCACACCUCUCACCUUAGGAGUUCGGUCUCCAGGAGCGACUUCCUUCUCCUUCUCCUUUGCCUUCUCCUUGUCUUUCUGUCUCAAAUCCAUUCUCUUGAUCACACGCCCAAACACACCAGGAACACUCAAGAGCAAUCUCUUGGAUCAAAUCGGCCAAUCCAAGGUUUGUGUCUCUCUUUCUCUCUUGAAUUUUCUCUGUGUUUCUCUCUGUGUCAAGUUGAGUAAAAAUCGACCAGUAUGGCAGAAAUGAGAGGGAGAAGACGAUUUAAACUGCCCCCAACCGCCUGGGCGAACAGUUACCAAAAAUCCCAUCCCUUCUUCCCAAAACCGCCCCAUAACCGCCCCAUAACCGCCCAUUGGCGGUUUCUCCCCUUUUCUUCCUUUGAUAAAUCGAUCACUGAGCCUCAGCUCACACUCUGGAAGUUUGCCCACUCCCUGUCCCAAGCCUAAGACCCACUUGGUCGAACCGUCCUGCACCCGGACCAUCGGCUCGCCCAGUAACCGUCCCGGACUCGCCCACACUGAUCCGAACCAAAACGCACCGUUCACCGGAUUGAGCUGACCUCCAGCUGUUCCCAGCUGAGUGAGCUAGUCCACCAGCUCCUGUGAGCUGAACAGAUCAUGGUGAACUGAAUACCAGCUGAACCGAGCUGAUUGAACUCAAACCAUCACUCGUCCAGCUGCCUAAACACUCACCCAGCUCCUUUACCCUUGUUUCCAUCGUAUCCUGGUUAAGUCUCAGCUGACUGAUGCCCUUAACCUUCAUUCAGGGCCAUGAUACGCUUGUCUUAAGGUCUAAUGACCUGACUGGUGCGUCUCCCCGCACCAUGGCCCGUCCGGCCGAUCCUAUCUAGGAUCGGGGACAUGACAAGUCUCCCCCACUAACUUGGGAUUCGUCCUCGAAUCCAUGUUAAGUGUUUCCUCAGGAAGAAAUUGUCUAUACCAAUCUGGAUACAUCGCUUUCAUUUUUGCUUCUGUUUCCCAAGUGAUGAGGUCUUUACCAUUGUAAUCCCACACCACUUUGAUCAUGGGAACUGUCUUCUUUCUCAUAGCUUUCUCUGACCGAUCCACAAUCCGAACCGGCAAAGUUUCCAAAGCCAGGUCCUUACCAAGGUCAGCAGGAACCUCGGGCAAGACAAUGUCUUGUUCAGACAAGCAUUUCCGGAGUUGGGAUACAUGGAACACAUUGUGGUAUGCAUCCAUUGCUGAUGGCAAGUCCAACUUGUAUGCCACUGCACCCACUCUCUCUAUGAUUCUGAAUGGACCCAAGUACCUAGGAUCCAGUUUCUUUCGUCCAGAAACCCUGGUCCUACCCUUAAAGGUAAUCAUCUUGAGAUACACCAGGUCAUUGACCUCAAACUCAAGAUGUUUCCUACGCUUGUCUGCAUAGCUCUUUUGGCGGUCCUGCGCCUCUUUCAUCUUCUCUUUGACCAUCCUGAUCCUCUCAGUGGUCUGUUCUACAAUCUCAGGACCCAACAUGCUACGCUCCCCCACUUGGGUCCAGCAUAGGGGUGUCCUGCACGGCCUACCAUACAAAGCCUCAUAUGGCGACAUACCAAUGCUUGUAUGGAAGCUGUUGUUAUAAGCAAAUUCCACUAAGGGUAAGUGUUUUUCCCAAGACUCUCCCCAGUCUAACACACAUGCCCUUAGCAUAUCCUCCAAGGUUUGGAUUGUCCUUUCAGACUGCCCAUCCGUUUGAGGAUGAUAAGAUGUGCUCAUAUUCACUCUGGUUCCCAAGGCCUUUUGGAAAGCCUGCCAGAAAUAAGAUGUAAAUCUUGGAUCCCUGUCCGAGACAAUGCUUGCUGGAACACCAUGCAACCUCACUAUCUCGUCUAGGUACACUUGCACAAUCCUGUCGACCCCAUCCCCUUUCUUGAUGGGCAGGAAAUGAGCCGACUUGGUCAGCCGAUCAACCACAACCCAUACCGCAUCUUUCUUAUUCCUGGUUGUGGGAAACCCAGUCACAAAAUCCAUUGUGAUGUGAUCCCAUUUCCAUUCUGGUAUGGGUAGGUUCUGGAGUAGACCACUGGGAACCUGAUGUUCUGCCUUCACCAGUUGACAAGUGGGACACUUAGCCACCCACUCUGCAACAUCAGAUUUCAUCCUCACCCAAUGGUAGUACCUUUUCAGAUCCCUAUACAUCUUGUUCAGUCCAGGAUGAACUGAAAACUUAGACUUAUGAGCCUGUCUCAUAAUCUCUUCUUUGAGUUCCUUAUCAUUAGGAACACUGACCCUCCCAUUGACCAAGAUGGUACCAUUCUCAGUUGUCUGGUACUCAGUCUUGUCAUUGGCGGCUACCUUCUUUAGGUUUUCAUCCAGGCCCUGUGCUUGCCUGAUCCUGGUCAGGAGAUCGGCCUGGUUCACUGCCUCCAACCCCAAUGGCUCAUCUGAACCAACCAAGGUGUUGAGGUUCAAGGACCUGAUCAUCCCUUCCAGUUCAUCCGCCUCCCUCUCAGAUGACACUUCAGCCCUUCUGCGGCUUAAAGCAUCAGCCACUAGGUUAGCUUUUCCAGGAUGAUAAGCUAUGUCCAGAUCAUAAUCUGCAACAAACUCCAUCCAUCGCCUCUGCCUUAAGUUUAACUCAGGCUGAGUGAAUAUGUACUUCAAGCUCUUAUGGUCUGUGAGUAUUUGCACCUUGGCUCCAUAAAGAUAUGAUCUCCAUAUCUUUAAUGCAAAUACUACUGCAGCCAUCUCCAAAUCAUGAGUCGGAUAGUUACCCUCAUGCUUCCUUAGCUGUCUGGAAGCAUAGGCUAUCACCUUCCCAUGUUGUGUCAAAACACAACCAAGACCAGUUAUGGAUGCAUCCGUAUACACCACAUAAGGCUGAUCAGCCUCAGGCAACACCAGGACAGGUGCAUUAGUCAACAUGUUCUUGAGUGCUGCAAAACUUUCCUCACACUCCUCAGACCAUGUGAACCUCACGUCCUUGCCUGUCAGCUUAGUCAUAGGUUGAGCUAUGCUCGAGAACCCCUUGACAUAUUUCCUGUAAUAACCAGCCAACCCCAAGAAGCUUCUAACUUCCGUAGCAUUCUUUGGCUGUGGCCAUUCCUGAAUACAUUUGAUCUUAUCUUGAUCCACUGAGACUCCUUUAUCAGACACCACAUGUCCAAGGAACCCAAUGCUCUUCUGCCAGAAGCUACACUUGCUUAGCUUAGCAAAGAGCUUCUGUUCUCUCAGGCGGCCCAACACCGCCCUAAGGUGUCUUUCAUGGUCCUCCUUUGUCUUGGAAUACACGAGUAUAUCAUCAAUGAAGAUGAUCACAAACUCGUCCAAGUAUUCCCUGAAGAUGCCGUUCAUCAUCUUCAUGAAUGCAGCAGGUGCAUUGGUCAGUCCGAACGGCAUAACCACAAACUCAUAGUGGCCAUACCUAGUCCGGAACGCUGUCUUUCUCACAUCAUCUGGUGCAAUGGGAAUCUGAUGAUACCCAGAGGCCAGGUCAAUCUUGGAGAACCACUUGGCUCCACGGAGUUGAUCUAACAACUCAUCAAUCCUGGGUAAAGGGUACUUGUUCUUCACAGUCACCCUGUUCAAACCCCUAUAAUCAAUGCACAACCUAAAGCUACCAUCCUUUUUCUUUACAAAUAGGACUGGUGCUCCCCAAGGUGAUACACUAGGGCGUAUGAACCCCUUCUCAAGCAACUCCUCAAGUUGCUUCUUCAGCUCUGCCAUCUCAGCUGGUGCCAUUCUAUAUGGACUUUUUGAUAAUGGGGCCGUUCCAGGUUCCAAUUCAAUGAUGAAUGGGUCAGCCCUAUCAGGGGGAAUGCCCUGUAGUGCCCCAAACACAUCCUGAAAUUCCCGAACCAACGGUAUACCCUCUGGGUCACAGGCCCCUACAACCUCAUCAGUGUAAAUGGUAGCCAAAAAGGCCUCACAACCAUUUCCAAGCAUCCGUUCUACUUGGACUGCUGAAACCACCAAACUACAAGAGGUUGGCUUGAUUCCUUGGUACUUGAUCGGGGGUCCAAACUCGUUCUCAAGUUGCACCCUUCCCCGGUGACAAUCUAGAGUUGCCCGAUACUUUCCCAACCAGUCCAUGCCCAAGAUCACUUCAUGAUGCUUGAGGGGGACAACAAUCAGAUCUAUAGGCAUCGGCCUAUCCAAGAUCACCACAGGGAUGUCCCUAACCAGACCGAGUGAGUUCAUAACUUGCCCUCCGGCCGCACUCACUCGUUCAGGACCAUCCCAUGCUCCAUACUGGAACAAACCUUUUCCUAUCAUACUUGGACUCACAAAACUAUGUGUAGCUCCAGUAUCAAAUAAUGUGUGUGUUUCCACACCACCAAUACUUAAGGUCCCUACACAAGACCCAUCAAAGUAUAUCUAUCCAUCCUAGAUUCCAUACCAUGCAAUUCUACUGGAAUUGUAAAAGUAAUAGUCUAGAAUGUUACCAGUGAUCGCUUGGAAAGGCUGAGUCCCAACCACCUCCUUGGAUAGCUCAUACACACGAGGUGUUGAGGUCUGGCCUCGUCCUGGACUGGCCUGCUAGCCUCCCCACGUCCCUUACUUUGGUUGCCUUGCAGCUUAGGGCAGUCCCUGCGGUAGGCCCUUCUGGCCGCAGUGGUGACAGGUCCUGGACUCACCCAACGGACUUGGACAAUCCUUGGCUGAGUGAUCCAUCUUACCACAUCGAGUACAGGCACCCAUGGCCUUCCAGCACUCUCCACCGUGGUAUCGUCCACACUUAGGGCACUCCGACCUACCACUUGAGGUUUUACCCUCCUCGGUCGAGUCCCUCUUCCUCUUCUUGUCACCACUCUGACCCGAGGAUACCACCACACUCUUCAUCUUCUGCUUACCCUCCUCGGUGAGGUUGGUCUCCAGCAAGGCCAUCCUCUCAACCAACUCAGAAACCGUGUGGAACUUACAAACAGAACAGUAGGUUCGAAGUUCCACCCUUAGGCCUCGGAUGAACCUUCGGACUUGAACCUUCUCAUCCUCCAGUUCUCUUCCCACAUACCUCCUGAGUCGGUUGAACUCUUCUUCAUACUCACGAACAGUCCUCCGUCCCUGAGUCAAGUCCAGGAACUUGGACUCCAAACGAUCCCACGCCUCAGCAGGAAAGUACUUAUGGUUGAACUCAACCUCAAAGUCAGCAAAGUGCUCAAUGGUACCAUUGGUACGCUUGUCCAAAGCUAACCACCAAUUAUGUGCAUCUCCCUCCAGGAAGUGUACUGCUAUGUCCUUCUGGAAAUCCUCAGGACAUCGUGUGGACUUGAAGUUUCGAACCAACCUGGUUCUCCACUCGUCCGCCUCCAUAGGAUCAACAUUUCCAGCAAAGUGUUUGGUUCCCAACUUGGAGAUAUGCUCCAGUACCUUCAGGUAGUCCAUACCACGCACUGGCCUGACCGGUGGGUCUAUCUCAAUCACCUCAGCCACACGGCCAGCACCAACAUCAGCCGCUCCAGCAGCAACCCGAACCGGGGGAUUAGCCUGUCCCACGGACGAGUUCACCAAUGGUGUGAAUGCCUGUGUCAAGGAGGCUAUCUGAGCCCCCAUGAUUUGCAUAGCCUCCACCAAGCCCCUUAUGGUCGGCUCAAUGACCUCCUCGGCACCAGUGACCCGAACAUUGUUUGCAUCAACAUUCUGGCCACUCCCAGCACCCACGUUGGACGACCCAGUAUCGUCUCCAUGGACUUGCUCUUGCUGCUCGUCCACAUUAGUUUCAUUAACCCCAGUAGGAAGAGUUGGACCCACUGGAAGUCCGGUUGCAUUGUCCACCUGCUCCACCAGAGCGGGUAGCACUAGGGUUGGAAUGGUUCCAGCUGGUAACACUCCGGUCUGUUCAGCACCAUCCUGCCCCACUGCUCCAGACGCUCCAGUUGCCUCCUUUCCUUUCCGAGAUUUGUACCUUCUUGUACCCUUAGGAGUUAUAAACACAAACAAAAGGUUAGUCCAAAACUGAACACACAAACCUCAAUCACUCCUAAGUUAAGCAGUCCAAAAGAUUACUUAGAACCCAACUAUCUCACCAUGAGUCCAAACGGCCAAGUGUGUGGUGAACCAAUAACCCAACAAAUCCUAGAAUCAAGAAUGCUCUGAUACCAACUUGUAAGACCCGAUCCUGGAUUCCUCA
rnacentral:lncRNA from 1 species